rnacentral:pre_miRNA from 2 species
CAAAGAAUUCUUAAAAAUAAAUAUCAGCUGGUAAUUCUGGGAUUUAUUUACAAAAAACAUUGGCAUUCCCCGGAAUUUCAGUUGGUAUGGAUUUUUUCGAAUUC